CAUUCCUUAGAAAAAUGUAGUAUACUAUAAGUGUACCUUCCACAUCAACAGUAUACUAAGUACACUACGUUUUCUUGAG
rnacentral:miRNA from 1 species